UGUAUUCCCUCAAAUGGAAAACCCAAUGUCCUCAUUAAGCCUGCGUUUCUAAAACAAGGGAGCAGAAGAAACCAAUGGUUGCUGAGAACCCCCGCUUUCAAUGAUCUCCAUUCUCUCGGUCGAAGCCCUUGACAAGAAUUUUCUCUCCACCGUUAUACUCCACUGGUUGCGCCAACCGCCAGAACUACAGCAAAGUACUGCCAAAAUUUUAACACCUGUGAUUAAUUUAGAUUCAAUUAGUGGAUCUUCAAGUUGGCAGAAUGACUUUGAAAAGUGGUGAAUUUUCAGGGAUAAUUGCAGGUAUUAUUGGUAUUUUUGGAAUUUCGCUGCAAGUUUUAACUCUUGAAGGUUGGGUUUUACUACCUCUGUCUGAUUGUUAUAUUAUUAGCUUCUAAAUUACAUGCAUAUGUUGCAGGGCAAGGUUCUGCAAAUAAUUUCCUCUUUUGUUUUUUGGUUAUUUUUCUCCUUUUUGCUCUUUUUCUCUUUGCAUGUUCUCAGUUUAUAUUUUUGUAUUGUUGGAAAGUUCUUAUUUCUUUUUCUUGGCAGAAGGUUGAAAUAAAAAUGUACCGAAAUUUUAUUUGAACUUACAAUUGGAUCUGCACGAGGAACCAGUAUAUGAUUUAGGAGUUAGAGUUCAUAUUUCCAAGAAAAAUAGGUAGUUUAUUACACAACUUAAGGCUUUUAGUUUCUCAAGAAGAGAAUGUGCAGUCUUGAAUAAAUGUCCAUGAAAAGUUAAAAAAAAAAGGUCUUCUGAUUUUUUCUUUGAUUAAUGAAGAUUUUUUGCAUACUAAUCUCUAUAAAUACAUUAUAGUAUGAGAAAAUAAAAAAGAGUUGUUACAAUGAUCCACAUAAAUACAUAGAUGAAUGUGGUCCUCUGUAGUUUGUACUUUAGCCUCUAUAUGCACACUUAUGUGGCUCACUAAUAAAUUAUGAGUUCACUUUUUUUUUUUUUAAUUUCAAGUUUAGGUAUUUCUUGAGAUUUGGUAGUAUGAUCUGAUGCUCCUUUCGCAAAAUAUCCUCCAAAGAAGGUACAUCAAUUAGGAUAGCUAUAGCUACAACUACAUUUUGUUUCUUGUGGAGCCACUUUAAUCAUAUUUGCAUUACAUAUUUUAUACUUCUCAGCUGUUGCUAAUGAUAAUCCAAAAUGCAACCCCCUACCUUGAUUAUGAGAGAUUAUGAGAGGAACAAAGCAUUGUCUAAGGCACUUUUUGAAAUACUUGACUCUUGACUGAUAAUGUUGUUGACGUUAGUGUUAACAUUACUCUAACACCUUGCUUUAUCUUGAAAGAAAACUUCAGUUCUGUUACUUGUGGAAAUCCUAACAUUUAAACGGGAGUUUAAUUAGUAUUUAGCUGUUAUUCAAUGGUUCAUCUAAUAGAAACAUUUUGCAUUUGGUUAUGUGUUGCUUUCUGAUGCUUUGGCGAAUACUUCGGCAAAAGAAGGCAUAGGAUGACAACAAGGUUAUGAGAUGCAGUUAAACAGAGGUUAUUUUCUUACAUCUUCUUAAAUUUCUUUCCAUUGUGCUUAUGGGGUUGUAAUACAGCAUCAGGAUAGUCCUCCAAAAGUAAAUUGCCAGAGCUACGGUUACCAAUGAAGUUUCAUGGCGCUGUGAAGAGCAAAAUUAAUAGCUAAUCAAGAAUUAAUUUUUCAGAAAUCACUUUCAUUUCCUUUCUUUCCUAUAGAAUGCCUCUACUGAGUCCCGCAUCUGCUGACUAUUGUUUGUUCUGUAGACAAAUUUGACUGGUAUAUUUUGUUAUACCUACAAGUUUGGACUUUCAGGACAAAUAUUAAAGAUACAUUCUCUUUCUAAUUGACUUCAGGAAAAGAGCACGAAGUUGGGUUUCAUUGGAAGAGUUUACCUUGAAAAGUGAUCCUACAUUUACUCUCCAACAGUGGUCGCUUGCUGAGUAAGGUUUCAAAUAGCUAAUGGUUUCACCAAGAAAAGGCCAAACCCUGUUGUCUGGUGGAAGAUUUAGGGAACUUCUGUUUUAUUCUGAAUUGAUUAAGAAUAAGAGCAACCAAGAUUGGGAAAAUAAGAAAAGCAAAAAGACAGUCAGACAUGGAGACCGGCUGAUGACUUCAUUGGCUCGAUGUAUCCUAAAUCUGUCUUUCGUCCUCAGUGACACUCGAUGCACAAAAGGCUCUAUUGCUGAAGCAGAUCUGGAAUAAGAUAGU